CCCCACUCUGUUUUCCCCUCAUUAAAGCAGAGUUCCACCCACAUUUUAUACUCCUCCCCAUCCAGCACUAAUGUGUACACUAAAAAUGAAUUGGCAUGUUUUUUUGUUUUUGUUUGGAUCGCUUACUUUAUUUCAGCAAUUUUCUUUCUUCACUUCCUCCUUAGUGGCCGCGACCCUGCACAUCAUUUCCGGCUUUGCAUUGUCUCCUGGGAGAUGUGUGUUAUCAAUCCCAGGAGGCAAAAGAUAUUGUCGGGUCAUAGCAUCACAUUAUUUGCGCCACCGCAAUUGCUAUGGAAACCCAACCUAUAUUGCUCGUAAUGCACUGCGCAUGCACAAGAUCGGCAGGUGCAUGAUGGGUAGCCAGCAUGCACGAAAUACAGGAAGAGAUACUCUCCGGCUUUAGAUGCCCACACAGGAGAUGGCCGCGGUCUGCUGGGACUUACAAAGGUAAGAAAACAAUGCUGCAAAAAUACUAAACAGACCUUAGUAUGCAGCAUAUAUUUACUAGAAUACAAACGAGUAUUAAAGUGGUAUUUUUAUCGAAAACAUUUAAUUUCGACCAGAACACUGCUUUUACAUACAAUGCAGAAGUCUAGAUCUUUCUAAUCAUUCUAGAUCUUUAAACCUCCUGAAUAGCAAAAGAAAAGAACAAGUAAAAUGUAAGCAGCAUUUGUUUUGAUUUUUUUACUUGUGCUAUGUGAAUGAGAAUAUAUAACAAGUAUAAAGUAGGCGUUAUUCCAAUGUGGCCGCAAAAGGGGAAAAACACUUCAUUGUGACCCUUGUUUUAGAGAAGCAAUAAUAAUUUGACAUUUACUGUAUCUACAAGUAUUAGGCCAACUUUUGCGUUUUAGUGAGAUCAAUCCAAACUAUUUUUAAUUCAAGAAAAUUUAGAGAUAAACUGCUCUGUCACAGCUGUUGUAAUAGCAGUACAUUCUUGCUGCUACAGAUUUAAGCCAAUACACACGGGCCGAAUGACAACAAUUGGCCCUGGUUUAUGGCAGCUGGUCCAACAGAAGCCAGACAUUUGGCGGCUUCUGUCAGAUGAGCAUGCUGGAAAACCAGCAGCCGACCAGCCCCCGAUCAGCACUCUCAGUCAAUAAAAGACUGUUCAAUAAAAAACGUCUAACAUUUGGCUCGUGUGUAUGGCAGGCGGUCUGACAGAAGCUGACCAUUUGGCUGGCUCCUGUCAGACGAGCAUGUUGGAAAACCAGCAGCCGACCGGCUCCUGAUCAGCGCUCUCAGUCAAUAGGGGGGGGGGGUAGUGAGAGAUUCAGCUGUAAUUCAUUCACUGCAUAAGAGACUAUUAUUACAGUAUUUAUUCUUCAACCACUGAUUAUUAAAGGUAAAAAUCACAAAAGAAAUAAAAUGAAAAUCCGACAAUGUCACUAUCUAACACAUUAAUCUACAAGCUGCUUUCUAAAUGAAAAUUUGAAAUAAUAGCUGGUGUUUAAUGACACUCCAAACAACAGCUACCAUUAAUUUAAAAAAAAGAAAAUUGCUAAAUGAUUUUUACGUUUUAUAUUUCUACCUAAAACACCUGUCAAGGUGUUCAUUUUUUCCUCCUUCUACAAGGUUCCCAGUGUCAGCAUGCAUUAUUGAUAGGGAAAAGAAACCCAGUGUUACCAGUUUAAUAGGGCUGUUUCGUUUGAUAAUGUGGUUGUGCUAGAAAUUCUGUAUAUAGUCCUACAGAACAGACAGUGCCCAGUCCACAUGGGUUUUGCUGCUUAACUGCAGACAGGAAACAGGAAACUUUAUUAUACAGAGAAACAGAGUUUAGCCAUAGAGGCUGCUACAAACUUAUAAACACUGCCAUCUAUUGGCUGAAGAAUAUAUCUGUAGUUAUACAAAAAUAAAUGAACAAUGUAUUCCAACAUAGCCAUAAUGUGUGUAUUUCUUGAGGAGGAGUUGUGAGUGUGUUUCUGUAGAGGGGUAGUAUUGAGCAAAAAUUUCUAAUUGAUAGAUGCAAUAUUUAUAGAAAUAAGAAUCUAUCUGAGCAGCACUUUCUGUAAAGAAGGAUAACAUAGAGCUUUCACUGUGCCACUGUGCAUGCCCCACUAAAGUGAGUGAAUUAAGGUAUACGUAAGUCAUUGGGAUGGAAGAUAGGUAAAUCUGAGUCCUGCUCAGUGUGAUAUUUAUUAAUAUAUACAAUAUUGGUGAUUUAAGAUGGACAUAUUUUAUUUUUUAUCAGAAAAUGUAUUUCUUACACUCGUGCCUGUCAUGCUGAUCUUUCUUGCAGAGAGAGAAGAUUUUCCUGUGCUGAUGGCACAGGAAAGGUUUGUUACAGUAACAUAUUAAAGCCAGCUAUAGAUGGAUCAAAAUUCUGCAGGGACUGGCCGAAUUUCAAUCCAUCUAUGGGCAGGCUGUUUGUACAGAAGUUGGUCUAUCGAUAGACUUCUGUACAACCAGCCUGUUGGUUUUUUUUUUUUUUUCUCGAUCAGUGCGGCUGGCUAUAGACGACAAUGCUCAUCAAUGUAUGGUGACAGAGGGCACUCUCCCCACUGUCAGAAUUCUGCAGGAGGAAUUGUGUGUGCGAUUUGAUGAGGGAAUUAAAUCAUUUUUUUUGUUCAACCCACCGCUCAAACAAAAACAUCAUCUAUGGCCUUAUCACCAUGAUUUUGCUAAUCAUGAUGAUCACAUGAUCAAAAUACACAUAAAUUGCUUCCUGGAUCUUCUUCGUAGGGCUUGAGGGUUCUAGCUGAAGCUUAGGCCUUAGCUAAAUAAACCUCAUUGGACCACGCAGCUGAUUUUUUUAAAGCGCCUUUAAUUAACAUUUUCUUGCCUUAGGGACCUUACUGGGAUAAUGUAAUUUACAAUAGUAUGGUAAAGAUGGUUUUACUGAGACUUAAUUCUGGGUCAAUGUCCUUUAGCACUCUAGUUAAAGAGGCUAAAGUGCCCAUCCCAUAGGCUAUAAACUACUCCAACAGCAUAGGGUUCAAGCCCUCCUCUUAUGCAUGCCCAUUGGACCAGCCCCAUUGAAAAUAUAGUAUAUGUGUUUUCUUUGGGCUUCCUACAAAUGUUUUCUCAAUUUUGUCUAAACGUGUUUUUCACACAAAAAAAAACACAUUAAUUGUUUCAACUGUGAUUGUGUGAAUUAGGCUAAAAAGUAGGUAUUGUUAGUUGUAUAUGAGUUGAUCUUAAAUAUUACUGUGGCAUAAUUGUAGAAUGUCCAAAAGAUGACAUUUUGCUCAACCCAGAUUUUAUUUUAGGUAGCAGUGACAUUUUUAUAAUAAUUUCUUUACUUCCACUUUUUGAUUUAGCCAACAAUGUAUGAAAAUUAAGAUGUAUCUCAAGGAUAUGGCCUGCACAAACCGACAACCAGACUAUUUGCAUAGCCUGAAAAUUACAGCUGGUCCCCCAAACCCUCUUCCCCUCACUGCCUGAAUGGUCAUAUUCUGUACAAUGCUGGACCAGAAGUCCUGACAGUGGAGGAGAGCAUUGGCUGCCAGGAGAGCAAGGAAUGAGAUCGACAGAGAAAUACUCUUCUGCUGGCAAAAGGAUUGUACGGAUGAAGAACUAUCAAACAAAAUCUUGGUUGGGUAUCUCAAAAUUAGACUUCUAAUCAUUAGCGAAAUCUGGAGAGAAACAAAAGUUUAAACGUAUGCACAGGACAAUUAUCCUUUUCCCAAUAAAUAAAACUGAUCCGUCUAUCUCCA